GAUGAACGCUAGCUACAGGCUUAACACAUGCAAGUCGAGGGGCAGCAUGAACUUAGCUUGCUAAGUUUGAUGGCGACCGGCGCACGGGUGCGUAACGCGUAUCCAACCUUCCCGUUACUCAGGUAUAGCCUUGCGAAAGUAGGAUUAAUCCCUGAUGACAUAUGUUUACUGCAUGGUUAUCAUAUUAAAGAUUUAUCGGUAACGGAUGGGGAUGCGUUCCAUUAGGUAGUUGGUGAGGUAACGGCUCACCAAGCCCGCGAUGGAUAGGGGUUCUGAGAGGAAGGUCCCCCACACUGGAACUGAGACACGGUCCAGACUCCUACGGGAGGCAGCAGUGAGGAAUAUUGGUCAAUGGUCGGAAGACUGAACCAGCCAAGUAGUGUGAGGGAUGACUGCCCUAUGGGUUGUAAACCUCUUUUAUAUGGGAAUAAAAAAGAUGACGUGUAGUCUAUUGUAUGUACCUUAUGAAUAAGCAUCGGCUAAUUCCGUGCCAGCAGCCGCCGUAAUAC
rnacentral:rRNA from 1 species